UGGGGAAUAUUGCACAAUGGGCGCAAGCCUGAUGCAGCCAUGCCGCGUGUGUGAAGAAGGCCUUCGGGUUGUAAAGCACUUUCAGCGAGGAGGAAGGUGGUGAGCUUAAUACGCUCAUCAAUUGACGUUACUCGCAGAAGAAGCACCGGCUAACUCCGUGCCAGCAGCCGCGGUAAUACGGAGGGUGCAAGCGUUAAUCGGAAUUACUGGGCGUAAAGCGCACGCAGGCGGUUUGUUAAGUCAGAUGUGAAAUCCCCGGGCUCAACCUGGGAACUGCAUUUGAAACAGGCAAGCUAGAGUCUCGUAGAGGGGGGUAGAAUUCCAGGUGUAGCGGUGAAAUGCGUAGAGAUCUGGAGGAAUACCGGUGGCGAAGGCGGCCCCCUGGACGAAGGCUGACGCUCAGGUGCGAAAGCGUGGGGCAGCAAACAGGAUUAGAUACCCUGGUAGUCCACGCUGUAAACGAUGUCGAUUUGGAGGUUGUGCCCUUGAGGCGUGGCUUCCGGAGCUAACGCGUUAAAUCGACCGCCUGGGGAGUACGGCCGCAAGGUUAAAACUCAAAUGAAUUGAC
rnacentral:rRNA from 1 species